rnacentral:rRNA from 1 species
CUACGGGCGGCUGCAGUGGGGAAUAUUGGACAAUGGGGGAAACCCUGAUCCAGCAAUGCUGCGUGUGUGAAGAAGGCCUGCGGGUUGUAAAGCACUUUCGGUUGGGAGGACUGCUUCUAGCACUAAUAUUGUUGGAAGUUGACGUUACCUUCAGAAGAAGCACCGGCUAACUCCGUGCCAGCAGCCGCGGUAAUACGGAGGGUGCAAGCGUGAAUCGGAAUUACUGGGCGUAAAGCGCGCGUAGGCGGCUAGAUCAGUCGGGUGUGAAAGCCCCGGGCUUAACCUGGGAACUGCAUCCGAUACUGUCUAGCUUGAGUACAGGAGAGGAGAGUGGAAUUCCACAUGUAGCGGUGAAAUGCGUAGAUAUGUGGAGGAACACCAAUGGCGAAGGCAGCUCUCUGGCCUGAUACUGACGCUGAGGUGCGAAAGCGUGGGGAGCAAACAGGAUUAGAUACCCCAGUAGUC